GUCCUUAGUUACCAGCACGUUAUGGUGGGCACUCUAAGGAGACUGCCGGUGGACAAACCGGACGGGAAGGUGGGGGAUGACGUCAAGUCAUCAUGGCCCUUACGGCCUGGGCUACACACGUGCUACAAUGGUCGGUACAAAGGGUUGCCAAGCCGCGAGGUGGAGCUAAUCCCAUAAAACCGAUCGUAGUCCGGAUCGCAGUCUGCAACUCGACUGCGUGAAGUCGGAAUCGCUAGUAAUCGUGAAUCAGAAUGUCACGGUGAAUACGUUCCCGGGCCUU
rnacentral:rRNA from 1 species